AUGAACCGACCAAAGAGGAACUCAGCAGACAGGAGGCAAUGCUGGAUGGCAUCAGCCAGCCAGCUAGAUUGUUUUGAGGGCUCUCGCCUUGUGGUGUUCCGGGGGACCAGGGGAGGUCGUUCCGGAGCGAGCGGGCGAGAGGAGGAGCCCCAGAGGUCCCCACCUACCCAGCUGCCAACGGUUCCAGAGGGUCGUAUCCUGGCCGUGGCCACUCUGGGGGAUCAGGCACAUCCCUCACCGAGUCCUGAGGUGCCUCCCACACCCGUCGGUCUCCCCGGGAAGCGAGGGAGACGGUUAUCGUGGGAGUCUGCCUCGGAAUCGUCGGAGUCAGCCCUGCCAGAGACCGAACUCCCCCAACCCGCCUCUGACCCAGCUGUGGUCUCUGCACCGCGCCCAAGGAGGAAGAGGAGGAAGAGGGGGCCUGCCGGUCCUGUGACCCCGUUUCCUCCCGUGCCAGCAGCGGAGAGCGCUGGCGUGCCCGUGCCUGCAGCGGAGAGCACUGGCGUGCCCGUACCAGCAGCGGUGGGCGUGCCCGUGCCAUCAGCGGAGAGCGCUGGCGUGCCCGUGCCAGCAGCGGUGAGCGCUGGCGUGCCCGAGCCAGCAGCGGUGAGCGUGCCCGAGCCAGCAGCAGUGAGCGUGCCCGAGCCAGCAGCAGUGAGCGUGUCCGAGUCAGCAGCGGUGAGCGCUAGCGUGCCCGAGCCGGGAAAGAAAGCUGUAUGCAAGUCGGCAGUCGUGAGAGCGGAGGAGAGAGCCGCGGCUGACUCUGCAGCAAAGACUCUUGUACAGUCGGUUUCAUCUCAUAAGGAGAUGCCAAUUGUCCUAGCUGCUAAAGCAUUUUCUGAUUAUUUGUCCCGUCUUGUCCAAAUUUUAGAAAUCCCCGUCAGUCCUGUCUUGUCCCCUGACCCUGUCCCCAGAAGUCCCAAAUGUCCAGCCGUUGUCUCCCCGUGUCCUGUUGAUGUGGCCCCGUGUCCUGUUGAUGUGGCCCCGUGUCCCGUUGAUGUGGCCCCGUGUCCUGUGGUCCCCCCGUGUCCAGUAGAUGUUGUCCCCCCGUGUCCAGUAGAUGUUGUCCCCCCGUGUCCAGUAGAUGUUGUCCCCCCGUGUCCAGUAGAUGUUGUCUCCCCGUGUCCAGCCGUUGUCUCCCCGUGUCCUGUUGAUGUGGCCCCGUGUCCUGUGGUCCCCCCGUGUCCAGUAGAUGUCGUCUCCCCGCGUCCCGUAAGUGUUGUCCCGCGUCCCUUGUCUGGUCCUGUCAUGUCCCCUGUCAGUUAUCCCGAGACCCCUCCCCGUCCCUCACCACCCAGACCUGCCCGUACCCCCCGUCGUCAGCCUUUGUCCUGUCCUCCUAGGAUUACUACCCCUCCCACCCGCCCUGGUCUGUCCCCCAUGAACUUUGUGGUCCCGCCCCCUCCCCUUCCCUGUUUGUUUUUUUUGAUUUGUCACCCCAACCCUGCCGUUGUGUACUCAUGUUUGCCUUUGUUGUUAUUUGUCAUGUCCUGUUGGUUUGUGUCUGUGUCCCAGUCUGUCAUGUCAGUCGUGUCCCGUGUUUGA
rnacentral:lncRNA from 1 species